rnacentral:misc_RNA from 1 species
CUCCUGUGCAAAGAAUGUAAAAUAAUUACUGCAAGCAGCUGUAUUUAGCCAAAAAAAAAUAAAAAAAGCCUGCUAGCACCAUCAUUUGCUUUACAUCAUAGAUGAUGAAAACUAACUCCUAAAAGUACAAGCUCUGAAUUAUCAGGUAAAAGGUCAACUGGUGACCAUAAUAUCCUGUGCUUUAAAUGCCUGGGGAUCAACUCCCACAUCCCUGAACAAAUCUAGUAAAAAUGUGUGUGACCAAAAGAAACACGUUCUAUACAUACCAGAUUUUCCCCCUUUCACACUUGCCACCAUUUUCGAUUCUCCAUUGCCUUAACAAGCUCAUUUGCCAAUGAUGCGAAGUCUUCAGCUCCAUUUUGCAGCUCUGCAGUGCGCCUGCUGAUUCUCUCCAAUUUUUCUUGUCUUUCCACAAGCUUGUUUCUUGCGUGUGCAGCAACUGACGAGGCAUCCCCAGCUUUUCUAUAUUGAGCUAUAAUUUCUUCAGGUGUCCUUAGUCUGGGUUUUAUAUCAUCAGCCCUGCCUAAUAACUGUUCCCUUUCUGUAUCCUUCUCUCUCUUUAUAUUUUUCACUUCCUGCGAUGUAGUUACCGUGGGCAGAGGUGAUUCAUCUAUCUCAAUAUCAUCUAUAUUAAGCUCUACAGCUUCCUGAAUAUCAGUAACAGCUGGAGAUGAUUCUGAGAAUGGUGGCUUCGAGAAAAUGUCCUCCAGGUGACUAAAAUUGGAUUGAGGUGUUGGAGUAAUAUCCGUGGUCUGCGCUAAUUUUGCAGCUUUAAAGCCUUUGACAAUACCGGCUAGAAUCCCAGGCUUAAUACCCUGCUUCUGCUUCUGAUUGGAAGAGAAACUGAUGGCUGCAUCUGCAGCAGCAGCAAGGACCUUAUCAUGAAGACAAGGAAGAGACUCUGGAAUCCUGAAACCAUUUUCACCAGACAGUAGCGAGGCGAAGGCCAACUCACACCCAUUUGCCAAUGUAAUCAGCCCAUUAUCAAAACUCAUAUUCUUCUCCAUGUUUGUUUUGUAGUUCCACCUAAGAAUUGACAUUAAGGAGCUUUCUUUCACCAAUUCCAAAUCUGGAAAAGAUCUGAUUUCAAUUGCUCCAGUCUGAAACAGCAAGAUCAGUCCACAAACUUUGUCAUCCUUCCUAAAAGUUGAAGUCCAACAGCAAGGGUUCGAAUGUUUCACUUUAAAAAUGGAUUUAUUGUUUCCCUGAAUCACACUCUUUGUAGAGUACAAGCGCAAUGAAUCCUCAAAACAAAGCAGAAUAAGUGAAUCCAUUAAUCUUUCC